rnacentral:snRNA from 1 species
GUGCUCGCUUCAGCAGCACAUAUACUAAAAUUGAACGAUACAGAGAAGAUUAGCA